rnacentral:SRP_RNA from 1 species
AUUGGGCGCGGUGGUGCAUGCCUGUGGUGCCAGCUACUCAGGAGGCUGAGGAAGGAAGAUCACUUGAGCCCAGGAGUUCUGGGCUACUGUGCGCUAUGCUGAUCGAGUGUCCACACUAAGUUUGGCAUCAUCAUGGUGACCUCCCAGGAAAAGGGGACCACAAGGUUGCCUAAAGAGGGGUGAACCAGCCCAGGUCGGAAACGGAGCAGGUUAAAACUCCCAUGCUGAUCAAAACAAAACUUAAUUUAUAGUCAAGUGCCCUGUAAUGUAUAUUUAUAAUUAGUUUAGAGGGCCUUAUACAUAUAUUACUCUA